AUACUUGAUUUUUUAAAAAAGUCGAAAUCGAAACUCACGUAAAAACGUACAUUAACAGAAAUGGAUGUUUGUUCUGUUUCAGAGAGAUUUCUGUUUUCCCUCAAAUGUUUUAACUGGACAGUGAUUAGUCCGAAAGUGUAUAAGCAAUAAAUGUAAAUGCCAAAUGUCCAUUUCAGAGUGUAUGUAAUCACUGAUAGACUUUUUUUUUUCAAGCAUAGAUUCUUGUAUGAUUAUAAUUGCUUAUAUAUUCUCAAUCAACACUGUUUCAUGGCCUUCUUUCUAGAAUAAAAAUAAACCUUUAGUUUUGUUUCAAUUUAAUAAU